GACGAACGCUGGCGGCGUGCUUAACACAUGCAAGUCGUACGGUAAGGCCCUUUCGGGGGUACACGAGUGGCGAACGGGUGCGUAACACUUGAGUAACCUUCCCACAACUUUGGGACAACGCUAGGAAACUGGGGCUAAUACUGGAAAUGUUCUCCUGCUUCAUCGUGGGGGUUGGAAAGCUCCUGCGGUUUUGGAUGGACUCGCGGCCUAUCAGCUUGUUGGUGGGGUAGUGGCCUACCAAGGCGGCGAGGGGUAGCCGGCCUGAGAGGGUGAGCGGCCACCUUGGGACUGAGAGGCGGCAGAGAUGCGGACGGGAGGAAGAAGUGGGGAAGCUUGCACAAUGGGCGCCACGCUGGUGAAGAAGGGCCGCGGGCGGGAUGACGGCUUUCGGGGUGUAAAACGCUUGCAGCAGGAACGAAGCUUUUUGUGACGGUACCUGCAGAAGAAGCACCGGCUAACUACGUG
rnacentral:rRNA from 1 species